rnacentral:lncRNA from 1 species
AGGCUUCACUGGGCAGGGUUUGGACUGGUCCAUCAGGGAAGGGCAUGGUCUUCCAUCACCUUGAAAGGGCUGGGUCACUGUUCGUCUUCGGAUCAUUUUUCCUUGAAGAGAUACAAAGUGAUGCACCUUUAAUAUAUGUUAUGGUUUUGCAAGCAUAUAUCUCAUUGGGAGAAGGCAUCACAGUGAUAUCUCCUGAGGCAAUCCAGGAACAAAUCUAUUGAGGCUCCUACUUAUCUUGGUUGGUAUUUGACCCAGUGGACCUCAGAUGCAUGGAGAGUCAACAUUUGUCAUGUUUUUGGGCUCUACCUGGACCUGCCAACCCAGUUCCUGUGCGCCCCUCAGAAGAAUUCAGCCUGCAGGAGGACAGCUUUGACCCCUGUGAUUUCAUCUCUGCCCCAACCAAUCAGCAGCAAGCACCCAUUCCCUGGCAGUCCCACCCCUUCCCCCAAACUGCCUUUGAAAAACCCCUACCUAGGAGCCUUAGACAAUAUUGAUUUGAGUACUAACUCCAUCUUCCAUGUGGCAUGGCUGGCCUUAUGUCUAUUAAACUCUUUCUUUACUGC